UACGGAGGGUGCAAGCGUUAAUCGGAAUUACUGGGCGUAAAGCGCGCGUAGGCGGCUAUUUAAGCUAGAUGUGAAAUCCCCGGGCUUAACCUGGGACGUGCAUUUAGAACUGGGUAGCUAGAGUACAGCAGAGGAUAGUGGAAUUUCAGGUGUAGCGGUGAAAUGCGUAGAGAUCUGAAGGAACAUCAGUGGCGAAGGCGACUGUCUGGGCUGAUACUGACGCUGAGGUGCGAAAGCGUGGGGAGCAAACAGG
rnacentral:misc_RNA from 1 species